AGAGUUUGAUCCUGGCUCAGGAUGAACGCUAGCUACAGGCUUAACACAUGCAAGUCGAGGGGAAACGGCAUUGAGUGCUUGCACUCUUUGGACGUCGACCGGCGCACGGGUGAGUAACGCGUAUCCAACCUUCCCAUUACUGUGGGAUAACCUGCCGAAAGGCAGACUAAUACCGCAUAGUCUUCGAUGACGGCAUCAGAUUUGAAGUAAAGAUUUAUCGGUAAUGGAUGGGGAUGCGUCUGAUUAGCUUGUUGGCGGGGUAACGGCCCACCAAGGCGACGAUCAGUAGGGGUUCUGAGAGGAAGGUCCCCCACAUUGGAACUGAGACACGGUCCAAACUCCUACGGGAGGCAGCAGUGAGGAAUAUUGGUCAAUGGGCGAGAGCCUGAACCAGCCAAGUAGCGUGCAGGAUGACGGCCCUAUGGGUUGUAAACUGCUUUUGUAUGGGGAUAAAGUCAGUCACGUGUGAUUGUUUGCAGGUACCAUACGAAUAAGGACCGGCUAAUUCCGUGCCAGCAGCCGCGGUAAUACGGAAGGUCCAGGCGUUAUCCGGAUUUAUUGGGUUUAAAGGGAGCGUAGGCUGGAUAUUAAGUGUGUUGUGAAAUGUAGACGCUCAACGUCUGACUUGCAGCGCAUACUGGUUUCCUUGAGUACGCACAACGUUGGCGGAAUUCGUCGUGUAGCGGUGAAAUGCUUAGAUAUGACGAAGAACUCCGAUUGCGAAGGCAGCUGACGGGAGCGCAACUGACGCUUAAGCUCGAAGGUGCGGGUAUCAAACAGGAUUAGAUACCCUGGUAGUCCGCACAGUAAACGAUGGAUGCCCGCUGUUGGUACCUGGUAUCAGCGGCUAAGCGAAAGCAUUAAGCAUCCCACCUGGGGAGUACGCCGGCAACGGUGAAACUCAAAGGAAUUGACGGGGGCCCG
rnacentral:rRNA from 1 species